rnacentral:rRNA from 1 species
AUUGAACGCUGGCGGAAUGCUUUACACAUGCAAGUCGAACGGCAGCACGGACCUCGGUCUGGUGGCGAGUGGCGAACGGGUGAGUAAUAUAUCGGAACGUGCCCAGUCGUGGGGGAUAACGUAGUGAAAAUUACGCUAAUACCGCAUACGAUCUAAGGAUGAAAGCGGGGGAUCGCAAGACCUCGCGCGAUUGGAGCGGCCGAUAUCAGAUUAGGUAGUUGGUGAGGUAAAGGCUCACCAAGCCAACGAUCUGUAGCUGGUCUGAGAGGACGACCAGCCACACUGGAACUGAGACACGGUCCAGACUCCUACGGGAGGCAGCAGUGGGGAAUUUUGGACAAUGGACGCAAGUCUGAUCCAGCCAUUCCGCGUGCAGGACGAAGGCCUUCGGGUGUAACUGCUUUGUACAGAACGAAAAGGUCCCUAUUAAUACUGGGGGCUCAUGACGGUACUGUAAGAAUAAGCACCGGCUAACUACGUG